GAGCCAUUAGCUCAGUUGGUAGAGCAUCUGACUUUUAAUCAGAGGGUCAGAGGUUCGAACCCUCUAUGGCUCACUA
rnacentral:tRNA from 2 species